GAAGGGGCCCAGGGACAAGAAAGCUUUCUGCCUAGAAGUAACUCAGUUCGAUCAGUUCAACUGAAAGAGGCAUCUUCUGGGAAGAAACGGCGGCGUUUGAGAGAACAAUAUGUUUGGAUGAUGGCAGAAGAUAAAGAAGGUACUCUUUGGCCACUGGAGAAGCCUGUGCUCUGUAAUGCGUUGGUGAAUUA